UUCUAUUUCUUGGUAAUUCGGUUUGUGAAAUGACUAUUAAUUACAAACACAGCAUCAUCAACGGUGAUUGCAAGAACUACUGCCAUCCCUGCGGUUUUUCCUCUUGGUAAAUGCGUUCUGGUCGUGACCAAUGGUGGUCUCCCAAAUCGGCCGGGAAUAAGGCUAUUGUUGCAGAACAAAACGCCGCAACCACUGCUGUGGUAAAUAUGUUCCAGCAGAACUGCCCACCGCCGUCGGUGUAAUGAUUUCGAUAGCUGAACAAACGCCAUCUCCUGGGCAUUCCCACAGCUUGUCGACACUAGCUAUUAUAUCACGUGUGAAUGCAACUGGGGCUUAA